rnacentral:rRNA from 1 species
UCGGUAGCUGGUCUGAGAGGAUGAGCAGCCACACUGGGGACUGAGACACGGCCCAGACUCCUACGGGAGGCAGCAGUGGGGAAUUUUCCGCAAUGGGCGCAAGCCUGACGGAGCAACGCCGCGUGUGGGAAGAAGGCUCUUGGGCUGUCAACCACUUUUCUCAGGGAAGAAGUCCUGACGGUACCUGAGGAAUCAGCCUCGGCUAACUCCGUGCCAGCAGCCGCGGUAAUACGGAGGAGGCAAGCGUUAUCCGGAAUUAUUGGGCGUAAAGCGUCCGCAGGGGGCACUUCAAGUCUGCUGUCAAAGGUCGGAGCUUAACUCCGGUUCGGCAGUGGAAACUGGAGCGCUAGAGGGCGACAGGGGUAGAGGGAAUUCCCAGUGUAGCGGUGAAAUGCGUAGAGAUUGGGAAGAACACCGGUGGCGAAAGCGCUCUACUGGGUCGCACCUGACCCUCAGGGACGAAAGCUAAGGUAGCGAAAGGGAUUAGAUACCCCUGUAGUCUUAGCCGUAAACGAUGGAUACUAGGCGUGGUUUGUAUCGACCCAAGCCGUGCCGAAGCUAACGCGUUAAGUAUCCAGCAUGGGGAGUACGCACGCAAGUGUGAAACUCAAAGGAAUUGACGGGGGCCCGCACAAGCGGUGGAGGAUGUGGUUUAAUUCGAUGCAACGCGAAGAACCUUACCAGGGCUUGACAUCCCGCGAAUCUUGCUGAAAGGCGAGAGUGCCUUCGGGAGCGCGGAGACAGGUGGUGCAUGGCUGUCGUCAGCUCGUGUCGUGAGAUGUUGGGUUAAGUCCCGCAACGAGCGCAACCCUCGUCCUUAGUUGCCAGCAUUAAGUUGGGCACUCUAGGGAGACUGCCGGUGACAAACCGGAGGAAGGUGAGGAUGACGU